GGUAUGGCUCCAGCUGAAUUUUGUUUCCAGCUGGCUGGUCCGGAGAAUCUCGACACCAUUUACCAUCUAGUCACUGGAUUUGGUGGAAUUGGAAGUGGUCUACCACCCCCUGGAGAUGGCUUUAGCUCCUGUGUCCUGGAGAUUUAUUUGGCUCCUUUGCCAAGGAGCAGGAAUGUAUAAACCGCCAAGGUCACCUGUAGCCAAGGACUGAGGACAGAUGAAAGGUCAGCAAACUUGCCUCAAGAUGUACAAAGGCUAAGGUGUAAUUUCUACUCUGGAGCUUCUCAGGAGCCAGGCUGGUGCCGGACUUCACCGGAGGUCACAUCCUUGCUUGGCUCUGUCCCUGCCUUGCCUACUUCCUCACUCCCUGUGAUUGCUCCUGGGAGCACUGCCUUCAUAAUCGCGUGCGCACACACCUCAUCUCCGGCUCUUCUCAUGGGAGCCAGGCUGAAGACAGUGUGGUGGUGACGUCCCACCAACAUCUCUGGGAAGACCAAGUUGACUUGAGCUGGACACCACACCAAGCCUGAGGCUCUGGGGACAUUUGUGGGUCAAAGAGUCCCUAAAGUAAGUGGGGGGGGGGCGACUCUGGAAGGCAGGGAAGGGAUAUGGACCAACAUCACCCCUCCCACAGAAUUGUCAGUUGCACACAGUGACUUCUAGAUUGGCAGAGGGUCUUGCUUUCAGAGAUGGAACUUUGAAUUUCUGCUCUGCUCAUUUCCAAAUCACAAGCAUGUGAGGGGCUAGAGUUAUUAGGAACAGAGGAGAAAUCAAGUGGCUUCUGAAGGAUAAAUGAAGGAUGAGGGAAAACAUUCUGGGGGGUGGGGGAAGAACAAGAUGAGCAAUGAGGAGAAGGUACCCUUGGGGCUUCCAUCCUUCAGUGGAUCCAGAACUAGCACCACAGCCCUGCAGCCCUUCACUGAGGGUCAGUCCCCUUUAGUCUACCUGCAGAACCCUCACCCCAUGGCUGGGACAGCUACUGAAUAUGAGCUUUCCCUUCCUUCAGUAAUUCCUAUAAACCAUAGCACACUAAGGUGAGAGUAGGUGGUGAUUCCCACAGGGAUUACCUCACCUGAGGAGCCAUGUUCCCCAAGUGUCAGGUAAGAAUGCUCUAAUGAGAAGACACACAGUGCAUAGAACUCCCUCUGAGGAGAUUCCACAUCACCUCCUACACACACACACACAUCCCUCCUAUAUUCUUUCAUGCAUGGGUUGCCCUCAGUCAGGGCCUGCUGGGUCAAGGAAGUGACCAGGCUUUGAGGCCUGUUGUAAAGCCAGACUCUGGGGCUCAUGAUUUUUCCUGCUUGAGUAAGCCCUAGCUGACUGGCAGCCUGGCAAAGAUAACUACCAGCUCAGGUCAUAGGAAAAGUGGUGGUGUUGAGAGAAAGAAAGUGAAGCACCCCAGGGCCUUAGGACCUGCCUGACAGAAAUACACCACUCCCCUGCUUAAGAGUCAUCUCAACUCUCUCCCUCCACACCUGCUCAGGGAGUGUGACCUGCUACCUGGGGAAUGCAGGUGCCUCCCUCCACAGCCUGGCCACAGGGGACGGCUAUUCCACCUCUGGGGGAAAGGAGUCUCUCCCUUGGCCCCAAAGGGAUGCCCUCUCCUGCCUUCUUCCUCAUUCCUGAAGUUGUGGCAAUUCUUCCUCUCUGGGUGAUGCCAGGUGUGGUCUUCACUGGAGUUCAUCCUCCACUCAAGGGUGUUUAUCCAUCAUGAGCUAGGAAUGUGCUUCCUCCUCUCACAUGGGAAGGUCCUAGGUGGUGCACAAUUCCUCCUCCCUAGUCAGAACUUACACUGAUACUUCUCCCCAUGGCCUACUCAGGCUUCAAAGUAGGCUGAGAAAAUCUUCAGCAGGAAAGGUAGAGUUCCCUGGGUCAUAUUUCCUUCCACUCAGGAAAGGCAGCAAAUUCAGAGUCUCUCAGUAAUAAAUCAACCCUCAGGGACACUGUGGACAAUUGUAUAGAUCACACAUAUGCCCUGUUGAGGGGAUGAGUGGAGGCUGAAAUUCAACCAGAGCUUUAUUUGCUAAGCUGUGUACUCUGGUGUGGGAUGCACUCUUUUUUCAUUGCACAAAAGCACCCCUUGUACACUUCCAUAAUUCAUACAAGACUCUAUAUAAUCUAGCCUCUGACCUGGCAGCCUUGUUUCCCUUACCUUCUUCUGCCUGGAAAUGUUCUCAUCUUCGCAGUCCCAAAAAGUAGUCUUUCUCUUUUCCUCUCUUCCUCUUCUGUCUGGGAUGGUCUAAUAGAAUCAAAAAAACCUACAGUCUACCAUUGCCAUUGAGAAAGUGACACCCAUGUGCCUUCUCGAAUUCUCCAUCUGCAACGAGCAGCAGUCCCAGUCAGUCUGGACGAAACUUCAAUGCUACUUCGCCCAUCCACUCAGCCUGGUCUUCCUUCUUUUCCUCCCACAGUGUCCAGCAAGAUCAUUUCUUAUGAGGCUUUCUCUUGAGGAGGUGAACGAGGCCAAACCAGAAAGAUCCCUUUGCCCCUCCUGCAGCCUUAAGAAGUGGCAGGUGGAGCUCAUGACCAGGCCUGGCUCCAGUCCCCUCUUGCUCUUCUAAGGGAUAUUUCUUUUCCUCUGUUGGAUCUUCCUCUGCUGGGUUGUGAGCUAGAACUAAGCACCCCAGCUGGAGGCAGUGCUCAGCCCCGAGAGCAGCUUAAGCAAAGAUCAUGGAAAGCACCUGCUGGGGUAAAUGGCCUUUGCCAGCUUUAGUCUGUCUGAUGUGGUGGGGGCAUACAUAUAUCCCACACAGAUGCUCUCUGUUCCUUUCCUUCCCAACAGUCUCUUUGCAAAUUUUCUCCCCAGCUGUUUGCAAGAAGCACAAAGCGAGAGUUUGUUCUUGUGUUGGAGCCCCUCAAGUUUAACUCUGAAGCCCCCUUUUGGGCAGACUUCCCUUGGGCCCCUCUCACAGAUGGGACUGGGGGGCUGGAUAGAGGAUUUGGAACUGGUCUGAUCCUAUAGGGGGGCACACCCUGCAACCCAAGACUUCACCGAUGGCACAGGAGGGCCAGACCUGUCUGUUCACAGUGUGACUGAGAGCAUGUGUCCUGGGUUGGGGUUCUGUCAAGCUCACAGCCAGGCCUCAGCCUUUUCCUAUGUCAUGUUUGGGGGUCUAAGCACAGCGUAGAGGGAUGAAAAGAGAGGCUCAGAUAGACCCAGGACUUGGUUUGUACACACCAUUCUCUUCUAAGAGGACUAGCACUGCUUGGACAAAUAGCCAUUUCUAGGGCUAGAGUGGAGAAAGUACAUGAGCCUGGAAUAUCUUGUGUCAGAGAGCAAGGAAGAACUCACAGAGCAAUGGGAACACAUCAAAAGGACACAGAAACCGGCUUUAGGAAACUCCCGCUGGACAUGUCUGAAAUAAUUUGAGCACCAUAAUCAUGAUGGUAAUGGAUUAUAAUCUAUUUAAUAAGAUUGGAAUCUUUGAGUCCAUAGUGACAUAAAUAAAUGAAUGAAUAAAUUGUUGAAAAACAGGGUGUUCACACAAUCUGAAAGUACUUCCCUAUGAAAUACUUAUUCAUUACAAGGGGGGAAAAUAAUCAUUUACCAUGGAAAAACAAACAGGUGCUCUAGGUGAACCUCACCAGUUAAGGGGACA